ACCACGCGAGUGUGAGCGAAUCUCAAAAAUAAACGUCUCAGUUCGGAUUGUAGUCUGCAACUCGACUACANGAAGCUGGAAUCGCUAGUAAUCGCGGAUCAGAAUGCCGCGGUGAAUACGUUCCCGGGUCUUGUACACACCGCCCGUCACACCAUGGGAGUCAGUAACGCCCGAAGCCGGUGACCCAACCUAACAAGGAGGGAGCCGUCGAAGGCGGGACGGAUGACUGGGGUGAAGUCGUAACAAGGUACC
rnacentral:rRNA from 1 species